GAGGAAUAUUGGUCAAUGGACGAGAGUCUGAACCAGCCAAGUAGCGUGAAGGAUGACUGCCCUAUGGGUUGUAAACUUCUUUUAUACGGGAAUAAAGUUAGCCACGUGUGGCUUUUUGUAUGUACCGUAUGAAUAAGGAUCGGCUAACUCCGUGCCAGCAGCCGCGGUAAUACGGAGGAUCCGAGCGUUAUCCGGAUUUAUUGGGUUUAAAGGGAGCGUAGGCGGGUUGUUAAGUCAGUUGUGAAAGUUUGCGGCUCAACCGUAAAAUUGCAGUUGAUACUGGCGACCUUGAGUGCAACAGAGGUAGGCGGAAUUCGUGGUGUAGCGGUGAAAUGCUUAGAUAUCACGAAGAACUCCGAUUGCGAAGGCAGCUUACUGGAUUGUAACUGACGCUGAUGCUCGAAAGUGUGGGUAUCAAACAGGAUUAGAUACCCUGGUAGUCCACACAGUAAACGAUGAAUACUCGCUGUUGGCGAUAUACGGUCAGCGGCCAAGCGAAAGCAUUAAGUAUUCCACCUGGGGAGUACGCCGGCAACGGUGAAACUCAAAGGAAUUGACGGGGGCCCGCACAAGCGGAGGAACAUGUGGUUUAAUUCGAUGAUACGCGAGGAACCUUACCCGGGCUUAAAUUGCAACUGACUGAACCGGAAACGGUUCUUUCUUCGGACAGUUGUGAAGGUGCUGCAUGGUUAUCGUCAGCUCGUGCCGUGAGGUGUCGGCUUAAGUGCCAUAACGAGCGCAACCCUUAUCGAUAGUUACUAGCAGGUCAUGCUGAGGACUCUAUUGAGACUGCCGUCGUAAGAUGUGAGGAAGGUGGGGAUGACGUCAAAUCAGCACGGCCCUUACGUCCGGGGCUACACACGUGUUACAAUGGGGGGUACAGAAGGCAGCUACACGGCGACGUGGUGCUAAUCCCGAAAGCCUCUCUCAGUUCGGAUUGGAGUCUGCAACCCGACUCCAUGAAGCUGGAUUCGCUAGUAAUCGCGCAUCAGCCACGGCGCGGUGAAUACGUUCCCG
rnacentral:rRNA from 1 species